UCCCUCGCUUCCCGAUCCCAGCCGCCAGGAGGCGCCCCACCCCGCACGAGCCUCGAUCCGGUGCCGCGAGCUAAAUGGGGGCGGGUGCGACGUCUUGCUCCCGUGGCGACGGCGUCCUGCUGAUCCAAAGAAAGAUGGAGCCAGGGCAUGAGGGAGAGAGGAAAGAGAGGAAGGAGAAGGGGCACAAGGUGAGGGAGGCGGUCGCCGGCGAUGGCAGCUCCGGUGACCGGCCGACGGGCAGGGAGGUGAGCUCCUGUUGAGGCGGCGGAGCUCGGUACGAGCUAGUUCGUCCGGAUCGAGCCUUGGCUUUCCCGAGGCGCGCGGUUGCGGGCUUGGAUCUGGGUGAUUCUUCUCCCCCGCCCUCCCUCCAUGGCCAACGGCACGAGGUGCAGCGACCUCUUCCGCCCCCCGCCAUGGCUCCUCUCUAUCCCCCCACCAGCACCCUCCUCACCCCUUCCCCACUCCCGGCUGAUCCCCAAGGCUGCCCCCUCCCUCUCUCAUUUGAUCUGGUCUGGACGAUCACUGGACCGAGCUCGAUACCACACUGCCUGUCUUGGAUGGCCGGAACAUGUUGUUGGCCAUCUCACACUCUGGUUGCAGCAAUUGGAUGUGCCCUGUGAAACCUGCAACAUUUGAGCAUUGCAAGCGGCGGUAUGGCAGUCUGAAUCCUGACGUUCUUGGGAGUGCAGGUUGAGCGUUUGUUGGAAAUAGGGGACUGAGACCCAUAGCUCCUUAAAAAAGGGUGUAUUUCCUCUCAAUCACUGCACAAGCAAACAAGUACUUCCUGGUUAGUUGUAUUCGUUUUGUUAUAUUUAUGAGAACUGCCUUUUCAAACAGGAGAAGAACGGCUAUCUUGCUUUUCUAAAAUCAACAGGAGCUCAGUAUGGAAAAUGUUGGAUAUUCUCGAAGAAAUACUUGCGAUGAAGGGUAGCCAUUGUUUGCAUGCUUCCUCCCUGUGGUGCAUUUGGUUCCUAAGCCAUCCUCUCAAGCUCCCACUUCGAUAGUUGUGAUCCUUGGGUCUGCGAAGCCAGGUUUGCAGAAGAAAUUGGGGGGCUCAAGUCUGCAAUCAAGGGAGCCUACAUGGUGGUCUCUGUUGUUUGAAGGCAAGGUGCUCGGGAAUGAGCCACUGGCUAAAUCGUUUGGUGAUCUCAAGGAUGUGUGCUCUGAUGUGGGAAACGUGGUCGACGACAAGCUCUGACUACUACAGGCUCCAACAAGUUAGAAUUAAUUUAGUUGUGGUUUUAUAUUGCAAAACACGGUGAAAUUAGAAUUUAUCCGGGUUUCUUUGUUUAGGUGGUGCUGUAGAAAUAGCAAUGUCGAUGCUACUGUCAAUUGUUUUGUUCAGUUCGUACGUGCUACUAAAGAUGCACUCGAUCUGCCUUUGCUCGGUUCCUGAAAAUUGCUACGUUGAUUUUGUUUUGAAUUUGCAAGCAUGUAGAUUAAAUCCAAAUGUCCAAUGAUAAGAAAAUAUUAACCUUUUAUCUAUAGAAGUGUACACCGAAAUAUCACCGAUUUGCCAAGACUACAGAUUUUUGUUAUUAUUUUUGUUAAUCGCAUUAGAUAAUUACGGCUAUUUGGAUUAGUCUUCAAUCCUAAUGCUUUGAAAAUGAAAGCAAUAGUUCUAUAUACCUUCUAAUCACUGGGGUUCUUGUGUUAUCCUUCCUAGAAUUGUUUAUUAUCUUCAAUCUUUAUCUUCAUGCUUCUAUUCUGAACCAAUAAACUUGAACAGCUACAAGAAGCAUCUUUCCAUGGAGCUUAAAUACCUUUUCCAAUACAUAGUUAAUCAACCGACGAAAGGAUUGGGUAUUGAGCUUCUUGUACUUGAGGAUGCUAUGUCAGGAAGUGAAACGUUGUGGCUUCAAGGAGUGAAGUAAUUGGAUUGGGAUCAUGGAGUAAAUCAAACGAGGAUGCAACUCAUGUUCGUGUAGGUGAGACACUUAUUAACUCUGUAGCAAAUAGUUCACAUGGUACAGCUAGCUGUGGUGCAGAGGGUAGAUAGUUUUAGUACUCAGACUUUCAGUUGCUGCUAGCUCUACUCUGCUGUCCUUUCGUAAUGGCAAUGUAGCAGCUGUGUGAUACGUUUGCAACACGGAGUCUUCACUGCAUAUUACCUACCGGAACCGAUAUGUGUUUGUCGACAUAAAAUUCUAACUUGAAUUUGCUAUUCAGGUGGCAAAUCCAAUAAUUUAUGUAGUGUAUUUGCAUUUUGCAAGAUAAUUUGGCUGCCAAAGUGCUACAUCGUAUCUCACUGGACCUAUUGAGUAAGUGAUAAUUUUUCAUUUAUAUAUCAUUCAAAUUUCUAUAUGCACUGUUCAUAGAUUCCUUGCAUUGUUCAGUUACCAAUUUUCGUAAGGGUCAUACUUAUUGGACCAUGGCACACCCUGCCAAUGCAGGUUGCUUCCAUGACCAUACUUCAAAUAGGGGUAUAUUAGUUUGUCUCUCAUCAUCAACUUUGGACCCUCUUUACGUGUGCAUUUUUUUUCAAAGCGUACUCGUACAAAAUAAACUGUAUUGGUUUUCAGUUUAUAUCUGUCCAUGGUUAUGCUCACAUCACAAAUUUUGACAGCUAGACAGUUCCCGAGUUCAGUCCAACCGAAACACUGCAUUUAUCUUUCUCGAUGAGUAUGGCAGAAUCCAACAUCCAUUCAACCCUAAAUUGGGGCUCCAUGGCUACCAACCGAUGGAGCAAGAAUGGAGACCACCCUCUCCUCCUCCAAUUUGGAGCUCCACGGCCGCCAUUCAACAGGCGCUGCCGUCGUUGCCUCCUCACCGCCUCACCUGGGAGAGCACAGGCGCCAACAUCACCCACGACCCGCCACAUGUUCGGUCAACAAGCUGUAGUUCAAUUAGGUCUGUUGCUCCUCUUACAUGCAGAGCCUGGGGAGAUCAUGGUCUUCUCUCAUUCUCUUGUGAAUAAUAUAUGCACUGUAGGUAUGCGAAAAGAAAUAUUGUAUUGCUUGGAAAAAGAUAUGCGAAAUUAGCAGGCAUCAAUUUGGCCAUGUUUACAAGCUAUUAGAUGUGCAUUUUUAAGAUGCGGUAGUCAUACUUUGUACUGGAAUUUGACUAAUAAUUCUAUUGCUUAAUGCCUUUCUAUUCUUUCUCAUUUGAACCAUAAUGAAGAUGAUACGGUCAAAUUAUUUGAGGUGACCCAUCCUGGUUUAUUUUCUCAUUGUCAUAUAAAGUGCCAAAUAUUAAUAUUCUACAUUUGCUGCCAAUAUUUUACAAAUUAGCUUUAUUUAUUUAUUGUUGUGCAUCUUUUUCUUUUCUUGAGAUGCUUCUAUAUAUAUUUGCUGCCCAUGACCCUUUUGUUGGUUACUUAAAAUAAUCGACAUGUUUUUUUUCUAUACCUCACUCUUUCUUGGUGUUCC